CACACACACACACACUGACACACACACACACACUGACACACACACACACACACGUGUGUCUAACCUCAUGUUGUCUCCUUGCUCUACAGGUCCAGGAGCUGUCCUGUCGUCUCCCCCCGUGUGUCUAACCUCAUGUUGUCUCCUUGCUCUACAGGUCCAGGAGCUGUCCUGAAAACGUCGCCUCCCCCCGUGUGUCCUGCGUUGUGAUUGGUGUAGAGAGAGUUCCACUAUGUCAGGCUGACCUUCCUGACCCUCUGUGACCCUCACCAUGGUGACAUGACAGACCUUAGUGUUCCCCACCACAUCCAUGUUAGAAACCCUUCAUAGAGACACACACAUACACACCCUGACACACAUACACCUUGACAUACACACACACACACCCUGACACACAUACACCCUGACAUACACACACACACACCCUGACACACACACACACCCUGACACACACACACAUUGACACACACACACCCUGACACACACACACCUUGACACACACACACCUUGACACACACACACCCUGACACAGACAGACCCUGACACACACACACACACACACACACACCCUGACACACAUACACCUUGACAUACACACACACACACCCUGACACACACACACCUUGACAUACACACACACACACACACACACACACACACACACACACACACACACACACACACACACACACACACACACACCUUGACACACACACACACCCAUCGACACACACACCCUGACAUACACAUGUAUACAUCGCGACCCUCCAGGUAGUGAUGUCGUUAGCGGUGCAUGUCCGUCGCCACCUGCGGCGCUUCCUCCUCCUCCUCGCCUCUGGCUCCCUGCUAGGCUCCGCCUACUUCCUAUUCUCUCACUCCGCCCCCACUCUACAGCUCAACCAAUCAGGAGAGCACGUUGCUGUGGCGUGCCCCCUGCCCUUUCCAACUCCCUACAGAUCCCCCAACACACACACCGACAGACGAUCCGACCGGGACACACACACCGACAGACGAUCCGACCGGGACACACACACCGACAGACGUUCCGACCGACAGAC
ensembl:lncRNA